UACGUAGGGUGCAAGCGUUGUCCGGAAUUAUUGGGCGUAAAGAGCUCGUAGGCGGUUUGUCGCGUCGGCUGUGAAAUCCCGAGGCUCAACCUCGGGCCUGCAGUCGAAACGGGCAAACUAGAGUGUGGUAGGGGAGACUGGAAUUCCUGGUGUAGCGGUGAAAUGCGCAGAUAUCAGGAGGAACACCGGCGGCGAAGGCGGGUCUCUGGGCCAUAACUGACGCUGAGGAGCGAAAGCGUGGGGAGCGAACAGG
rnacentral:rRNA from 1 species